CCUACGGGUGGCAGCAGUGGGGAAUAUUGCUCAAUGGGGGCAACUCUGAUCCAGCGACGCCGCGUGCACGAAGAAGUCUCUCGGUAUGUAAAGCUCUAUCAGCACGGAAGUAGACAUGACGGUGUCUGAGUAAGAAGCACCGUCGAACGACGUGCCAGCAGCCGCGGUAAUACCUAUGGUGCAAGCUUUAUCCGGGUUUAGUGGGUGGAAAGGGAGCGCAGGCGGCACAGGGAGCCUGUUGUGAACGCCCGGGGGUCAACCGCGGGACUGCGUUGGGAACUAGCGGGCUAGAGUGCGGGAGAGGUAGGCGGAAUUCCUGGUGUAGCGGUGAAAUGCGUAGAUAUUAGGAGGAACACCAGUGGCGAAGGCAGCCUACCGGACUGUGACUGACGCUGAGGCUCGAAAGCGUGGGGAGCAAACAGGAUUAGAUACCCUUGUAGUC
rnacentral:rRNA from 1 species